rnacentral:sRNA from 1 species
UGGUUCCACCAUCGUAUUAGUUGUAUGUGUGUGUGUGUGUAUUGUAUGCGUGUGAUGUAAGGUCAUUCGCGUGAAAAUAUCAGCGAGGAAAAAAUCGAAUUUUUGUGUUUUGUGUGCUAGGUAAUUUCCGAAAAGCGUGCAAAAUCAAAAAGUUUAAUCAAAUGCCAAUGCAUCAGCGGUGUACGUGUGUAUAUUAACAAGCGGUGAACAUGUGAAAAAUUGUCAAGAAAUCAAAGGUGCUUGGUUGCCCAACGCAAAAAUUGUGACGAAAAGCACCAAAGUACUCUCGCACACACACACACACACAUGUGCUUAUACGCAUACUCUUGCAUGGCCAGAGGGAGCUUGGAGAGCUAGAACCCAACCUAGAGUUGUCAACGCUGUGCGAAGAAUUUCGUCAUUGAGAAGAAGAGUGUUUGAGCAUGUGUGUGUCUGUGUUUUGUGCGUGCCUUGUCACAGUGUGUGUGUGCGUGCUGGCGUGUGUGUGUUGGUAGUUUGUUCUCUUUGGUAGUAAAAUACAAAAGAAAAAUCAUCUCGACGGAAAAAUGUGAAAAAAUGUACAUAAUUCCGUACCUCAAGUAUGCAGCCAGUGCCCGCCUCCCUGCCAGUGCCCACCCCAAAUCAAAUUGAGAUGAAACACCGCGCUACCGAUUGAAAAACUAUUACAUAAAUAGUGCAAAGUGUAAAUGUUAUUGAAGGCAAAAAGAAGCGACGCCGCGCACGCUGUCGUCAUCGCCUGCUAAAAAAAAAAGAGAAAUAAAGAAAGAGAAGAAGAACGGUGAGGAGGAGGAAGAGCAGCCCCCGCUAAGUACCGCUAGCCAGCCAGGCAGCGAGCGGCCGAACGAAAACGCGUUACUUAUUUUUGCGAAAAAUACCAAUUGUUUGUGCUUCCAGUAUAUGCAUACGUACAUAAAUAUAUGUAUAAGUGAUGUUUGAUGAACAAAUCCAUUACAUAUAGGAUAUCGACGAAUUAUUGACCAUAUAAUGUGGAAAAUAAACUAAUAAUAUUUGCCAUGCUUGUGUGGAGUGUGGAGUGGGAGUGUGGUGGAGGGGAGUGGAAGGAAGUGAAAAGGAGCGGUGGAAUAGUGCGGGUGGGUGCGCCUGUGUGAGUGACCUCGCGUACAUGUGUCGCGUGCCUGCGACGGUGUUGGUGUGUGUGUGCGGUGGCAAGGAGUGUCAUGCGUAUAUUUUGCUGCCCCCCUGUUUCUUCUACUUCCCCCCUGCUGACCCACUGGCAAAGCCUAUCGACAACCACAGAGCAGCAGCAGCGGCGGCAGAGGCAGUGCUCCUUUUGCUCCAGCGAGUUUUAUCUUGUUUUCCCCAUUUUAAUCAUAUGCGGGCGCAGAGGAGAGACAACGACAAUCACGUCAUCCAGCCUGCGCCAUGACACACCAACAUCAACAUCAAUACAGUGAAUAAUGACAGCUAAAGAACGGCUUUGAACAGGUUUUGCCUCCUAUAAGCAGUGAGAAAUUAUGUUUUCUAUACGAUUUGUAUGGAAAAUUACAUUGCAUACCUCUAGGUCUCGGCAAAUAAUUUGAAAUCAUGAUUAUCGUGAUUCACGAAAGCCUGGUUUUACUGUACUCAACAUCAAUGAGAAAACACACACACGUGUGCACUAUAAAGUCAUUUGAAUGAACUUUUAUUGGCCCAGUGCCGCAGCGGCAGGGAGCCUGGGGGAAAUGAGAAUGGGAUGGGAUUGGGAUGUCCCCCGCCCGCUCUGGGGAUGCGUGAAUUUGAUUGCUAUUUCGAACGCCAUACGAGCUCAACUAAGCCUUUUAAUUAAACCAAUUAAAUAUGUUUAAUUCAUUUAAAUUCUCACUUGUUAAUAUUUGUUCAGUCCCCACAUUUGACCGACCGCCCCCUCCUUCCGACGUUCUGUCCGUCAGGCCAGGCCGAGCAUCGUCGGCACACUCUUUGUGUGUGUGUGUUAGUGGUUUGCGUGUGUGAGAAAGAGAGCAAAUAAACUGAGUCAUGGCUGACGAUGACGUUAUGCUGCUUAGCUGCGGUUAGAAGCAAUUUGUCUCCAAAGUGUUUAUGCUCAAAGUUUGCCAAUAAAGAACGGCGAAAGAAAAGAAACUUUCCUAGAAAUGUGCCCAACACAUAUACACAAACACACAAUUCCAUUCGAUUGACCUCGAAGCAGCUGGAAAGCAAAUCGAUAGUAUUGUUCGAUCGAUAACAUGUCACGCCGCCUGCUCUGGGGCCGCUACCUCUGCGCUCUCUCCCUCUCUCUCUUUUUUGCAUUACGGCAAACAGCUGAUUGCGCUGCCGCACAUUUUUAUAUUUUUCUCGCAAAAUUUGUAAAAAUAAAUAUAGUUGACGACGACGUUGUGUGUAUUCGGGCUGUUCGCCUUUUGUUCCGCUAGCGGUACUAAAUUAGACAAGUUCCCUGCUCAAAAGGAAAACAUGUACAAACCGAACAGAACCGCUUGAAACUGCUUGCAGAUCGAAGCAGUGGUCAGUUUUUGGACUGCGUCGGGGACUGGUCGUGGAAAUACAUAAAAUUAAAACCGAACGAAACACACACAACAGAGAACAGAGAAAGUAGAGGCACAAGAAGAAUUCGAAUAAUACGAAUUUUCCUUUAUUUUGCGAAAAUACAUAGGCUAAAAGAAAUUAAAAACAAAUAAAAUAUAGAAGAGCUGGAAGGAAUAGCUGGUUAAAUAAUAAAUAGGAAACAAAUUUCGAAUUGAAAAACAAAACACAAAAAGGAGACGAAAAAA